UCCGCAAUGGGCGAAAGCCUGACGGAGCAACGCCGCGUGCGGGAUGACGGCCUGUGGGUUGUAAACCGCUUUUCUCAGGGAAGAAGAUCUGACGGUACCUGAGGAAUCAGCAUCGGCUAACUCCGUGCCAGCAGCCGCGGUAAUACGGAGGAUGCAAGCGUUAUCCGGAAUUAUUGGGCGUAAAGCGUCCGCAGGCGGCUUAUCAAGUCUGCUGUUAAAGCUCGGAGCUUAACUCCGGAUAGGCAGUGGAAACUGAUAGGCUAGAGUGCGGUAGGGGUAGAGGGAAUUCCCAGUGUAGCGGUGAAAUGCGUAGAUAUUGGGAAGAACACCAGUGGCGAAGGCGCUCUACUGGGCCGCAACUGACGCUGAGGGACGAAAGCUAGGGGAGCGAAAGGGAUUAGAUACCCC
rnacentral:rRNA from 1 species